AGGACGAACGCUUGCGACGUGCCUAAGAAAUGCAAGUCGAACGAGGUAGCAAUACCUAGUGGCGAACGGUCGCGUAACACGUGGGCAACCUGCCCUAGAGUGGGGGAUAACAAUCCGAAAGGAUUGCUAAUACCGCAUGUGAAUACUGAAGGCAUCUUUGGAUAUUCAAAGGAUUUAUUCGCUCUAGGAUGGGCCCGCGGCCUAUCAGCUAGUUGGUGAGGUAACGGCCCACCAAGGCUUCGACGGGUAGCUGGUCUGAGAGGACGAUCAGCCACACUGGGACUGAGACACGGCCCAGACUCCUACGGGAGGCAGCAGUGGGGAAUCUUGCGCAAUGGGCGAAAGCCUGACGCAGCAACGCCGCGUGGGGGAUGAAGGCUCUCGGGUUGUAAACCCCUUUCAGCAGGGACGAAUCAAGACGGUACCUGCAGAAGAAGCCCCGGCUAACUACGUGCCAGCAGCCGC
rnacentral:rRNA from 1 species